GGAGAUUAGAGCAUGUGGUCGCCUUCACAGUUCCCCGAUGUAGCAGAAACGUGAUCAGGGAUAGUCUCGCUUCCUGAAUAGAUGAUCAGAAAUAGUCUUGCUUCUCGGGCAUAUUGAGUGCUCACUGAUAAGAAAAACAAGUAGAUAUCGCAUCACUAGGUAUGGAGAAAACUGGAUGUCUUCUGCAAAGAAAAUUUCGUUAGUAACACUUUUAUACACAAAUAA
rnacentral:lncRNA from 1 species